AUGAACGCUGGCGGCGUGCCUAAUACAUGCAAGUCGAGCGAACAGACGAGGAGCUUGCUCCUCUGACGUUAGCGGCGGACGGGUUAGUAACACGUGGAUAACCUACCUAUAAGACUGGGAUAACUUCGGGAAACCGGAGCUAAUACCGGAUAAUAUAUUUAACCGCAUGGUUCAAUAGUGAAAUACGGUUUUGCUGUCACUUAUAGAUGGAUCCGCGCCGCAUUAGCUAGUUGGUAAGGUAACGGCUUACCAAGGCAACGAUGCGUAGCCGACCGGAGAGGGUGAUCGGCGACACUGGAACGGAGACACGGACCAGACUCCUACGGGAGGCAGCAGUAGGGAAUCUUCCGCAAUGGGCGAAAGCGUGACGGAGCAACGCCGCGUGAGUGAUGAAGGUCUUCGGAUCGUAAGACUCUGUUAUUAGGGAAGAACAAAUGUGUAAGUAACUAUGCACGUCUUGACGGUACCUAAUCAGAAAGCCACGGCUAACUACGUG
rnacentral:rRNA from 1 species